rnacentral:rRNA from 2 species
GGACUACCGGGGUAUCUAAUCCUGUUUGCUCCCCACGCUUUCGUGUCUCAGCGUCAGUGCUAACCCAGGGGGCUGCCUUCGCCAUCGGUGUUCCUCCAGAUCUCUACGCAUUUCACUGCUACACCUGGAAUUCCACCCCCCUCUGCCGCACUCUAGCCUCGUAGUUUCCAACGCAGUUCCCAAGUUAAGCUCGGGGAUUUCACAUCGGACUUUCGAAACCGCCUGCACACGCUUUACGCCCAGUAAUUCCGAUUAACGCUUGGACCCUACGUAUUACCGCGGCUGCUGGCAC